GAUGAACGCUAGCGGAACGCCUAACACAUGCAAGUCGAACGAGUUUUGUUUUGUAGCAAUACAGGAUUAAAUUAGUGGCAAACGAGCGAGUAACGCGUACUUAAUCUGCCCAAAAGUUGAGAACAACUAUAGAGAUGUAGCUAAUUCUCAAUAUGCUCACGAUGGUGAAAUCCCAAUGUGAGGAAAGAUUUAUCGCUUUUGGAGGAGGGUGCGUCCUAUCAUGGUAGUUGGUAAGGUAAUGGCUUACCAAGCCUUUGACGGGUAGCCGGUCUGAGAUGAUGUCCGGCCGCGAUGGAACUGAGAUACGGUCCAUACUCCUACGGGAGGCAGCAGUGGGGAAUCUUGCACAAUGGGCGAAAGCCUGAUGCAGCGAUUCCGCGUGGAGGAUGACGCAUUACGGUGUGUAAACUCCUUUUUUGGUGGAAGACGAAUGACGUACACCAAGAAUAAGGACGGCUAACUAC
rnacentral:rRNA from 1 species